CGCUUGGCGGCACGCCUAAUACAUGCAAGUCGAACGAAGUAGCAAUACUUAGUGGCAGACGGGUGAGUAACAUGUAGGUAUCUACCCUUUGGCCUGGAAUAACACGAGGAAACUUGUGCUAAUACUGGAUAAGUCUUUACGGAGAAAGCUUUAUGCACCAUUGGAUGAGCCUGCACUUGAUUAGUUUGUUGGUGGGGUAAUGGCCUACCAAGACAAUGAUCAAUAGCUGAUUUGAGAGGAUGAUCAGCCACAUUGGGACUGAGACACGGCCCAAACUCCUACGGGAGGCAGCAGUAGGGAAUCUUGCACAAUGGAGGAAACUCUGAUGCAGCGAUGCCGCGUGAGUGAAGAAGGCCUUUGGGUUGUAAAGCUCUUUCGUCGGGGAAGAAAAUGACUGUACCCGAAUAAGAAGGUCCGGCUAACUUCGUGCCAGCAGCCGCGGUAAUACGAAGGGACCUAGCGUAGUUCGGAAUUACUGGGCUUAAAGAGUUCGUAGGUGGUUAAAAAAGUUGGUGGUGAAAUCCCAGAGCUUAACUCUGGAACUGCCAUCAAAACUUUUUAGCUAGAGUAUGAUAGAGGAAAGCAGAAUUUCUAGUGUAGAGGUGAAAUUCGUAGAUAUUAGAAAGAAUACCGAUUGCGAAGGCAGCUUUCUGGAUCAUUACUGACACUGAGGAACGAAAGCAUGGGUAGCGAAGAGGAUUAGAUACCCUCGUAGUCCAUGCCGUAAACGAUGUGUGUUAGACGUUGGAAAUUUAUUUUCAGUGUCGCAGCGAAAGCGAUAAACACACCGCCUGGGGAGUACGACCGACAAGUAAAUAUGAUAGG
rnacentral:rRNA from 1 species